rnacentral:rRNA from 1 species
GACGAACGCUGGCGGCGUGCUUAACACAUGCAAGUCGUACGGUAAGGCCCUUUCGGGGGUACACGAGUGGCGCACGGGGGAGUAACACGUGAGUAACCUGCCCACAACUUUGGGAUAACGCUAGGAAACUGGUGCUAAUACUGGAUAUGUGCUCCUGCUGCAUGGUGGGGGUUGGAAAGCUCCGGCGGUUGUGGAUGGACUCGCGGCCUAUCAGCUUGUUGGUGGGGUAGUGGCCUACCAAGGCGGCGACGGGUAGCCGGCCUGAGAGGGUGACCGGCCACAUUGGGACUGAGAUACGGCCCAGACUCCUACGGGAGGCAGCAGUGGGGAAUAUUGCACAAUGGGCGCAAGCCUGAUGCAGCAACGCCGCGUGCGGGAUGACGGCCUUCGGGUUGUAAACCGCUUUCAGCAGGGACGAAGCUUUUUGUGACGGUACCUGCAGAAGAAGCACCGGCUAACUACGUG